rnacentral:rRNA from 1 species
CAUCACCUCUAGCAUAUCAAGUAUUAGAGGCACUGCCUGCCCAGUGACUAGCGUUAAACGGCCGCGGUAUCCUGACCGUGCAAAGGUAGCAUAAUCAUUUGUUCCUUAAUUAGGGACUGGAAUGAACGGCUUGACGAGGGUUUAACUGUCUCUUAUUUCCAAUCAGUGAAAUUGACCUCCCCGUGAAGAGGCGGGGAUUACAAAAUAAGACGAGAAGACCCUAUGGAGCUUUAAUUUACUAGUUUAAUCCCAACAACAAACAACCUAUUGGCCCAACACACAAAAAUAUAAACUAGUAAUUUUGGUUGGGGUGACCUCGGAGCAUAAAAAAACCUCCGAAUGAUUUUAACCAAGACACACAAGUCUAAGUGACCAAAUAUCUUAUUGACCCAAACUUUUUGAUCAACGGACCAAGUUACCCUAGGGAUAACAGCGCAAUCCUAUUCAAGAGUCCAUAUCGACAAUAGGGUUUACGACCUCGAUGUUGGAUCAGGACAUCCCAAUGGUGCAGAAGCUAUUAAUGGUUCGUUUGUUCAACGAUUAAAGUCCUACGUGAUCA